rnacentral:lncRNA from 1 species
AACAUUGCUUCUGAGAAUAUUUCCUGUCUUUUACAUCAGAAUUGAUCUAUCAUAUCUGAAAGCAGGCAUUUAAAUUUUUUUUUCUGUAAUAGGUUUGAAGACGGUGAGGGGACGAUGUUCUCUAUUUUUUUUUAAUUUUUUUUUCUUUAAUUAUUUAUGAUAGUCACACACACACACAGAGAGAGAGAGAGGCAGAGACACAGGCAGAGGGAGAAGCAGGCUCCAUGCACCGGGAGCCCAAUGUGGGAUUUGAUCCCGGGUCUCCGGGAUCGCGCCCUGGGCCAAAGGCAGGCGCCAAACCGCUGCACCACCCAGGGAUCCCUGUUCUCUAUUUUAACCCAGGCUCGUUCUCUAGCAGUGUGUUCAUAAUCCCCUGCCCCUCCCCCUUCCAGCCUCUUGGCUGCCCCAGCAGUUAUCCCUGCCCUUCUAUCUACAAACCUCCAACAGCCAGCGAGCACCUGACAGCAUAGCAGGGCACAAACUAGGUAAGCAGCUUGGGUCUGCCCAAACUUAGUCUGCUUCCAAAGUGUCUCACUCUUCUUCCUACUUUCAUCGUUUUAACCUGUUCACAAAUUUCCUGAAAGAAAACUUACUAUCAGCUCUUUCCAUUUUUCUUUUUGCUUUCAUUCUGAAAGUUUCUCAAGCUUUUAAUGCCAUGACUGUUCGCAGUCAUGUUCAGCCUGGCCAGCUUCAACCCAGGGCAAGUUACUUUUUUUUUCUUUUCCUGAGCCUCAGUUUUUUCACCUGUAAGAUGGGGUUAGUAAUAUUACUGCAGUCAUGCACAUGUACUAUGAAUGAUGCGUGGAGGUAUUUAGCACAGUGAGUGGUCUAAUUAAGUGCUUGGUUUCUACUAAUAACUAAUUCUGCUUUUUUACCUUUGAACUUUUCCCUAAGCCUAUGACCUACUCAUGACUUCUUUCUUCCCUGUUCCAUCCUUUGUACCUUUGGUAAUCAAUACAUGAAGAUGAUAGGUGGGGCAGUUCUAAAAAUACCUUGAAUAAAACAAGAUUGCUUUCUGAGACUCUAUUGAUAAAAUUCACACAAAUUGGAAGACAGGAAUACGCCAGGAAAUUAUGUAAAUGUUUGAUGAAUUCCCAAGCCCCAAUUUGAUGAUAUGGUGUAAUCUUAUGGAUGUGGAAUUAAGUAUGUGACUUGACUUAGUAUACUAAAAUCAAGUCAAUGUAUCAUUUUUCUGGAAAAAGACUAUAUACUUAGAAGGUAGAUGGCAAGCCUGUAGUAUAGCAAAGGAAGCCCAUAUAUUCAGAGGGGUUUGCAUUUACCAUCCCAAACUUACCCAGGGAUGGGGUGAAAGGACUCCACCUACCCUUUUUGGGGCAAGUUAUAUCCACUGUGGGCCCCUAAGAUCAUUACCAUCAAUCGUACAACAGCAAGAAACUUGCCGAUUAUAGUUUGAUUCCCUUUGUAGAUCAGCCACCAGGUGCUGGUCACAGGUCAUAAAUACAUGUGCUUGUGUGUCAAUUAUAGUUUCCUGCUCAAAGUAGGUAUCCUCUUUUUCUCUCAUGAGCUUAUUAGUGUAAGUCCAUUCUCAAAAGCAGCUCUGCUUUUGGAGUAUUGCCUACCAGUGAGGACCAGACUCUGGAUGCUUGUGAAUCAUCAAAGUGGACCUACGCCUACAACCCUCCUCCAAAUCUCUCUCACCUGUGACAUUUGCCUGCUGCCAUCUUCUCAGGUACCUGUCACCACUCUUUAA